rnacentral:rRNA from 1 species
UACGUAGGGGGCAAGCGUUGUCCGGAAUCAUUGGGCGUAAAGAGCGUGUAGGCGGCCCGAUAAGUCCGCUGUGAAAACUCGAGGCUCAACUUCGAGCUGUCGGUGGAAACUAUUUGGCUAGAGUCCGGAAGAGGAGAGUGGAAUUCCUGGUGUAGCGGUGAAAUGCGCAGAUAUCAGGAAGAACACCCGUGGCGAAGGCGGCUCUCUGGUACGGAACUGACGCUGAGACGCGAAAGCGUGGGGAGCGAACAGG